GACGAACGCUGGCGGCGUGCUUAACACAUGCAAGUCGAACGAUGAAGCCGGAGCUUGCUCUGGUGAAUUAGUGGCGAACGGGUGAGUAACACGUGAGUAACCUGCCCUUGACUCUGGGAUAACUGCUAGAAAUGGUAGCUAAUACCGGAUACGACCCUCGGAGGCAUCUUCAGGGGGUGGAAAGAAUUUCGGUCAAGGAUGGACUCGCGGCCUAUCAGCUAGUUGGUGAGGUAACGGCUCACCAAGGCGACGACGGGUAGCCGGCCUGAGAGGGUGGCCGGCCAAACUGGGACUGAGACACGGCCCAGACUCCUACGGGAGGCAGCAGUGGGGAAUAUUGCACAGUGGGCGCAAGCCUGAUGCAGCAGCGCCGCGUGAGGGAUGACGGCCUUCGGGUUGUAAACCUCUUUUAGUAGGGAAGAAGCGAAAGUGACGGUACCUGCAGGAAAAGCACCGGCUAACUACGUGCCAGCCGCCGCCGUAA
rnacentral:rRNA from 1 species